CACGUAGGGGCCAAGCGUUGUCCGGAAUUAUUGGGCGUAAAGAGCUCGUAGGCGGUCUGUCGCGUCGAUCGUGAAAACUUGGGGCUUAACCCUGAGCUUGCGGUCGAUACGGGCAUGACUGGAGUUCGGCAGGGGAGACUGGAAUUCCUGGUGUAGCGGUGAAAUGCGUAGAUAUCGGGAGGAACACCUGUGGCGAAGGCGGCCACCUGGUUGGAUACUGACGCUGAGACGCGAAAGCGUGGGGAGCAAACAGG
rnacentral:rRNA from 1 species